rnacentral:ribozyme from 1 species
AUCAGAAAAAAUAAAAAAUCGACAAAGCAGUUAUUGGAUUCCAAUGAAUAACAAAACGUAUAACGUUUGGAUGUACUUUUUCAUGUUCUUUUCCCUUUUUCUCUUUUUUUU